AGCGAGACCCAGUGAGGCUUCCGCUAGGAAUGUGUGGACGGAGUCUGGCUGGCUUUCCUUUAGAAUUCAAGCCUGAGAUGUGUGGGGAAUGGAGCAAAUGUAACUGUCCUUCUACCAUUUGAAACCUGAGAUUGGAGUCAAAACUAAGGAAUUGCAGCAGAAAGGAAGAAAUUGGGUCCUCUGGUGACUAUUGAGUCAUGAAUCAAAAUAUGCCUAAAGUGAGAACCCACAACCUUUCCACUCACGUGAGCCAGGAAAUUCUGUUUGGGAUGAGUUUUCUAGUAUUUGCAGCAGAAGAAUCCCUACCUGAUGCAGAAAUGACCCACAUUUUCCAGCUGAGGCAAAUAGAGGCCUCAGGAGAUUAGCUAACUUGCCCAAGUUCACACAAAUAACUAAGACAAAAUUUGAAGCCACUUUGUUUCACCUUGAAAAGCUGGUGAGGAAGACAAACUGGAUUUUUAACUGACUGCAAUAUGACAAACAUAUGUGAAAAAAGAAAGACACAAUAGGAAAAUGGAGUGAAAGAAGGGCAGAGAGUGAAGGACAGUGUAAUUGAGGUACAAGUUUCAAUGACAUCUGAAGAUUAUGAAAAUCUGGGGUUUUCCUGGUGCCCCAUCUCUCCCAGUGACUCAGUAAGAUAGGAAAUGAAGGCUAACUCUGAUUACCUAGUUGACUAUUUUAAACUCCAGCCAUUUAUAGAGCACUAAUUAGAAAUCAUUUCAAGCAAAACAUCUGUUCAUUGAUUUGCUGAAACAUCAAUAUUGGCUGUCUAUGAGAAUAAUUUGCAUUUCAUUGCUAAGGAAAAAACAUUAGUACCUGGAAACCAAAGAAAGCAAAUCUAGACCCACGAAGAUCCUCAGUUUUUUUCAGAAGGCAAACCACCAUGAAUUAUUCUAAUUAUUUGACCUUUUCACUCCAGAAUAAUCCAAAGCGAGCACCUGCAAAGGGAGUGGGGUGAAGUAUCGAGUUCAUAGAAGCCCUCAACAGUUUUUGCAGAAGAAACCUGAGUCCCAGAGGGGUUAGGUAACUUGUUCAAGAUCACACAGCUAACAAGUAGCAGAAACAGGAUUUGAACCUAAGCCAUCUCUCUCCAGAAUCUAUCCUGCCAACCACUAUAGCAGACUUCCCAGAGGGAAGGUAACUGCCCAUUUUUGAGCAGCUGUAUCAUGACAGGCAUCUUACAUACAAUACCUCAUUUAAUCCAUCUGUCAGCCAAAGCCUUGUGAGAGCAAAGGAAGCCAGUCACAAGAGACAG
rnacentral:lncRNA from 1 species